UUCGGGUGGGGCAGGCAGCAUACGUGUGUAGAGGGCUGAGUGAGUUCGGCACUUGGUUGAUGCGAGUAGUUUGUAUCUAUGCACCGCUAGCUGCAUGCUUUCACCAAAUCAGAAUUUGCCUACUUACCCGUUGGAAGUGUGCAUACUAGCAGAUACAGGAACAAACCGAAGCAAAACUGUCUCAUUAUGCUUUCAAUAAUUGUGAGUAAAGAUUCAUCACAGCAACAAUAGAUCGAGCAAGAUGCAAGCUUCUCCAAUGAUUUGCCUACUUACCCGUUGGAAGUGUGCAUACUAGCAGAUACAGGAACAAACCGAAGCAAAACUGUCUCAUUAUGCUUUCAAUAAUUGUGAGUAAAGAUUCAUCA